rnacentral:rRNA from 1 species
GUCGAACGAACUCUUCGGAGUUAGUGGCGGACGGGUGAGUAACACGUGGGAACGUGCCUUUAGGUUCGGAAUAACUCAGGGAAACUUGUGCUAAUACCGAAUGUGCCCUUCGGGGGAAAGAUUUAUCGCCUUUAGAGCGGCCCGCGUCUGAUUAGCUAGUUGGUGAGGUAAAGGCUCACCAAGGCGACGAUCAGUAGCUGGUCUGAGAGGAUGAUCAGCCACAUUGGGACUGAGACACGGCCCAAACUCCUACGGGAGGCAGCAGUGGGGAAUCUUGCGCAAUGGGCGAAAGCCUGACGCAGCCAUGCCGCGUGAAUGAUGAAGGUCUUAGGAUUGUAAAAUUCUUUCACCGGGGACGAUAAUGACGGUACCCGGAGAAGAAGCCCCGGCUAACUUCGUGCCAGCAGCCGCGGUAAUACGAAGGGGGCUAGCGUUGCUCGGAAUUACUGGGCGUAAAGGGAGCGUAGGCGGACAUUUAAGUCAGGGGUGAAAUCCCGGGGCUCAACCUCGGAAUUGCCUUUGAUACUGGGUGUCUUGAGUAUGAGAGAGGUGUGUGGAACUCCGAGUGUAGAGGUGAAAUUCGUAGAUAUUCGGAAGAACACCAGUGGCGAAGGCGACACACUGGCUCAUUACUGACGCUGAGGCUCGAAAGCGUGGGGAGCAAACAGGAUUAGAUACCCUGGUAGUCCACGCCGUA